ensembl:rRNA 5S_rRNA 5S ribosomal RNA
GCCUACGGCCAUACCACCCUCAAUGUACCCAGUCUCAUCUGAUCUUGGAAACCAAGCAGGGUUGGGCCUGAUUAGUACUUAGAUGGGAGGACUGAAGGGGAAGAUUGUGGGCUUUUGGUU